rnacentral:rRNA from 1 species
AUUGAACGCUGGCGGCAGGCCUAACACAUGCAAGUCGAACGAGUGGCGGACGGGUGAGUAAUGUCUGGGAAACUGCCUGAUGGAGGGGGAUAACUACUGGAAACGGUAGCUAAUACCGCAUACCAUCGGAUGUGCCCCGAUGGGAUUAGCUAGUAGGUGGGGGAAAGGCUCACCUAUGCGACGAUCCCUAGCUGGUCUGAGCGGAUGAACAGACACCCUGGAACUGAGACACGGUCCAGACUCCUACGGGCGGCAGAAGUGGGGAAUAUUGCACAAUGGGCGCAAGCCUGAUGCAGCCAUGCGGCGUGGAUGACGAAGGCCUUCGGGUUGUAAAGUACUUUCAGCGGUGAGGCGUUACCCGCAGAAGAAGCACCGGCUAACUCCGUGCCAGCCGCCGCGGUAAUUC